rnacentral:rRNA from 1 species
UUCCGUAGGGGGGACCUGCGGAGGGAUCAUUACACAAAUAUGAAGGCGGGCUGGAACCUCUCGGGGUUACAGCCUUGCUGAAUUAUUCACCCUUGUCUUUUGCGUACUUCUUGUUUCCUUGGUGGGUUCGCCCACCACUAGGACAAACAUAAACCUUUUGUAAUUGCAAUCAGCGUCAGUAACAAAUUAAUAAUUACAACUUUCAACAACGGAUCUCUUGGUUCUGGCAUCGAUGAAGAACGCAGCGAAAUGCGAUAAGUAGUGUGAAUUGCAGAAUUCAGUGAAUCAUCGAAUCUUUGAACGCACAUUGCGCCCUUUGGUAUUCCAAAGGGCAUGCCUGUUCGAGCGUCAUUUGUACCCUCAAGCUUUGCUUGGUGUUGGGCGUCUUGUCUCUAGCUUUGCUGGAGACUCGCCUUAAAGUAAUUGGCAGCCGGCCUACUGGUUUCGGAGCGCAGCACAAGUCGCACUCUCUAUCAGCAAAGGUCUAGCAUCCAUUAAGCCUUUUUUUCAACUUUUGACCUCGGAUCAGGUAGGGAUACCCGCUGAACUUAAGCAUAUCAUAGGCCGGAGGAA